rfam:Ictidomys tridecemlineatus contig065567, whole genome shotgun sequence.
AGGGGUGUAGCUCAGCGGCAGAGCAUUUGCCUUGAAUGUGCAGGGCCCUAGGUUCAGUCCCUAGCACCUCCU